rnacentral:rRNA from 1 species
UACGGGGGGGGCAAGCGUUGUCCGGAUUUAUUGGGUUUAAAGGGCGCGUAGGCGGCCUGUUAAGUCCGGGGUGAAAGCCCGGUGCUCAACAACGGAACUGCCCUGGAUACUUGCGGGCUUGAGUACAGGCGAGGUUGGCGGAAUGGACGGUGUAGCGGUGAAAUGCAUAGAUACCGUCCAGAACCCCGAUUGCGAAGGCAGAUGACUAGGCUGUAACUGACGCUGAGGCACGACAGCGUGGGGAGCGAACAGG